UACGUAGGGGGCAAGCGUUGUCCGGAUUUAUUGGGCGUAAAGAGCGUGUAGGCGGCUUUACAGGUCCGUUGUGAAAACUCGAGGCUCAACCUCGAGAUGUCGGCGGAAACCGUCUGGCUAGAGUCCGGAAGAGGAGAGUGGAAUUCCUGGUGUAGCGGUGAAAUGCGCAGAUAUCAGGAAGAACACCUAUGGCGAAGGCAGCUCUCUGGGACGGUACUGACGCUGAGACGCGAAAGCGUGGGGAGCGAACAGG
rnacentral:rRNA from 1 species